UACGGUAGGGCGCAAGCGUUGUCCGGAAUUAUUGGGCGUAAAGAGCUCGUAGGCGGUUUGUCGCGUCUGCUGUGAAAACUCGAGGCUCAACCUCGGGCUUGCAGUGGGUACGGGCAGACUAGAGUGCGGUAGGGGUGACUGGAAUUCCUGGUGUAGCGGUGGAAUGCGCAGAUAUCAGGAGGAACACCGAUGGCGAAGGCAGGUCACUGGGCCGCAACUGACGCUGGAGGAGCG
rnacentral:rRNA from 1 species